UACAGAGGUGGCAAGCGUUGUUCGGAAUUACUGGGCGUAAAGGGCGCGUAGGCGGUCUGGUCAGUCCCGUGUGAAAUCCCUCGGCUCAACUGAGGAACUGCACGGGAAACUGCCUGGCUUGAGUUCGGGAGAGGGAAGCGGAAUUCCGGGUGUAGCGGUGAAAUGCGUAGAUAUCCGGAGGAACACCGGUGGCGAAGGCGGCUUCCUGGACCGACACUGACGCUGAUGCGCGAAAGCUAGGGGAGCAAACGGG
rnacentral:rRNA from 1 species